UUCAAUUAGAUGCUGCAGAAAUUAAGUUUAUCACUUUCCAUCUUAAGUGUGGAUAACUGAGGUAUUUAAAAGCUGGAAUUAUGACACAGUUAAUAAAGUUCUGGUUGAUUUGAUUGUAAUCAUGCACCGGAGAAAGUUUACAUGAGAAUUCCAAGCAUGAAAUAGGAGUGGUAAACAGUGCAGCAGCUAAGGAGAUUAAAAAAUUGAAGAUAUGAUAUUAGGGAUUAUGAGAAAAUGUUAUAUGCAGCAUUUCCAUGAGCCCCUGCUACUUUCAAAUUAUAAAAUCACUUUUGGAGUCUUGUUUGUAAAUGGACUAUUCAAAAGACUAUAUAAUCUGUUAAUACUCCUUUGACAGUUUGGGAUUUUAAUUUAAAGUUCACUGCAUCUCAUAUACAUUGAAUAAUUGAAAAUUCUGUUCACUCUCAAAAAAUAAUGCAUCGCUUUUCCGUAUGUCUAUUAGGACAGACAUUCUGGUGACAUUUCCAUAUGAACCAUUUGUCUAAAAAAUAUUUAAUGUCUUCUCCUAUUAAAGCCUUGAUGUAUUGUGGUUAUGUAUACUUGUGUUGAUAUUACUGAUGUUAUUAUUUCUGAAUUUGUUAAUUGUUUGUAAUGCAGGAACCUCAGUUGAGUGCUAAUGAACCAUUCGAUGUGUAUACCAAGCCCUUCUCCUUAUAAGUAGUGAAACAGUAUAUUUGUGGUGAAGCUCUCGAUUUGAUUCAAGCAGGUGACUCCAGAUGUGUACAGUUUAUGGAGAAAACUCAAUUCUAUUAGGCGUUAGUGAUUUCUUCUCAAGUGGAGAGGCAAGGGAAGUCAAAGACAUUUCUGAUAGAUAACGAGAACAUUUUCUCCAAAUUUAAGUCUUCGUUUUCUAGAAAGAGUGAGUUAGGAAUUGUAACUAAUACGCUUGCCGAGAAAAAAGAGGUUUGAAAUGAUCGGCCAGUGAAAAAAGGGUCGCUUUAUACUUUAUA